rnacentral:rRNA from 1 species
CCGGGGKAUGGCCUUAKUAGCGGCGAGUGAAGCGGCMAAGCUCAAAUUUGAAAUCWGGUACUUUCAGUGCCCGAGUUGUAAUUUGAAGAAGGUAUCUUUGGGUCUGGCGCUUGUCUAUGUUUCUUGGAACAGAACGUCACAGAGGGUGAGAAUCCCGUGCGAAGAAAUGAUCCAGGCCUAUGUAAAGAUCCCUCGACCAUCCCAGUUGUUUGUUAACGCACUUUUUCAUGCGUGGUAAAUUCCUCCUUUCGCCAAAUAUUGRCGAGACAUGGACACCAAACAAGUAUCGGAAUAAAAGACUUUAGAACUUAUUUAAGAGAGUGAUAAAGUUGCUGUCAUUGAUGAAUCGACACGGCUUGAGAACUUACUUGAKAUUUUGUAUGUUACUUCUUCGGGGGUGGCCUCCCUCUGUAACGUUCUGUUCCCAGAUUGKACGGWAGCGCCAGACCCGAAGAUACCUUCUUCRCAUUACAUGUCGGGCACUGCCACUGCCRRAWUUGCMAUUUKAGCUUUUGCCSCUUCACUCRYMSCUACUAAGGCAAUCCCUGUUGSUUUCUUUUCCYCCGCUUUAWUGAUAUGCCCCA